UGGGGAAUAUUGGGCAAUGGGCGAAAGCCUGACCCAGCGACGCCGCGUGAGGGAAGAAGGUCUUCGGAUUGUAAACCUUUGUCAACAGGGACGAAGCAAUGACGGUACCUGUGAAGGAAGCCACGGCUAACUACGUGCCAGCAGCCGCGGUAAUACGUAGGUGGCGAGCGUUAUCCGGAUUUACUGGGUGUAAAGGGUGAGUAGGCGGGAAGGCAAGUCAGAUGUGAAAUGCAAUGGCUCAACCAUUGAAUUGCAUUUGAAACUGUUUUUCUUGAGAGUCGGAGAGGUAAUCGGAAUUCCUAGUGUAGCGGUGAAAUGCGUAGAGAUUAGGAGGAACACCAGUGGCGAAGGCGGAUUACUGGACGACAACUGACGCUGAGACACGAAAGCGUGGGGAGCAAACAGG
rnacentral:rRNA from 1 species